UUGCCCUAGUAACGGCGAGUGAAGCGGCAACAGCUCAAAUUUGAAAUCUGGCUUCGGCCCGAGUUGUAAUUUGCAGAGGAAGCUUUAGGCGCGGCACUUUCUGAGUCCCCUGGAACGGGGCGCCAUAGAGGGUGAGAGCCCCGUAUAGUUAGAUGCCUAGCCUGUGUAAAGCUCCUUCGACGAGUCGAGUAGUUUGGGAAUGCUGCUCAAAAUGGGAGGUAAAUUUCUUCUAAAGCUAAAUACCGGCCAGAGACCGAUAGCGCACAAGUAGAGUGAUCGAAAGAUGAAAAGCACUUUGAAAAGAGGGUUAAAUAGCACGUGAAAUUGUUGAAAGGGAAGCGCUUGUGACCAGACUUGCGCCGGGCAGAUCAUCCGGUGUUCUCACCGGUGCACUCUGCCCGGCUCAGGCCAGCAUCGGUUCUCGCGGGGGGAUAAAGGCCCUGGGAACGUAGCUCCUCCGGGAGUGUUAUAGCCCGGGGCGUAAUGCCCUCGCGGGGACCGAGGUUCGCGCAUCUGCAAGGAUGCUGGCGUAAUGGUCAUCAGCGACCCGUCUUGAAACACGGACCAAGGAGUCAAGGUUUUGCGCGAGUGUUUGGGUGUAAAACCCGCACGCGUAAUGAAAGUGAACGUAGGUGAGAGCUUCGGCGCAUCAUCGACCGAUCCUGAUGUUUUCGGAUGGAUUUGAGUAGGAGCGUUAAGCCUUGGACCCGAAAGAUGGUGAACUAUGCUUGGAUAGGGUGAAGCCAGAGGAAACUCUGGUGGAGGCUCGCAGCGGUUCUGACGUGCAAAUCGAUCGUCAAAUCUGAGCAUGGGGGCGAAAGACUAAUCG
rnacentral:rRNA from 5 species